UCCUCCCUUCGCCAUCUAUCCUCCUCCUGGUUGUUUUUCAGAGCUGCAGCUCUGCAGUAGGAGGAGGAAGAGGGAUGAGACCAUUUCUCUUCCUCCUUUUGUGCACUCAUUUUUUUUUUUGCAAGACAGAGACUAGAGAACGGGCUCAGAAUGUCAAGCAUUAGGUCGGGAAUAGAGCGCCGUUUGAAACAAGUGGAUCAGCCUCUGAUGCAACAGAUGAAUCGGGGGAAACCAAAUGUUCUCGCACAGCGUGACUGACUCUUUGCCUGAUUGCCCAACAUGCUCCUCCACCCCCCCCCCCCCCUCCAACGCACUCAUUUUUGAAAACCAACUCCAACUCGGUCCAUCUCUCUUUUCCCAACUCUGUUUGCAUUCAAAUGGAUUCAUGUUCAUAGCCGCGAUUGUUGCUUUUAAAAAGCCAUUGCCUCUCUUCCCUCCCUCUUCCCUCUUUUUAUGAGUCUUUGUGCUUAGAAGCUAAUCAGCUAGACUGGUGUGUCUUACAACCUUCUUUUUUU